rfam:Burkholderia pseudomallei strain K96243, chromosome 1, complete sequence.
GCCCGGGGACGACCCCGGGCCGUCGAUGUUCAACGGGGACGACCCCA